CCGGCGGGGUGGAGCGAUGCCCGCGCGGCCCCGCCUCCCAGGACGGCAGCGGAGACCGAAGGGUCCUGGUGGGAGGUGACGCCAGGAGGCGCAGUUCUGUGUAAGCAGCAGAGUCCCGUGGCCCCUUACAGCCUAGCAGACGUAUUGGAGCAUGAGCUCUGGUGGGUGAAUACCCACUCCCUGGGAUGUUGUGUUUGUUACCAGCACUUGUCAGCUGCGCACAGCGCUGCUGGUCAGCCUCACCCGCGGAGGAAAGGCUCGCUCUCCGGCUUUUACAAAUGGGGAAACUGAGGCACGGUGCCUUGGCUUGGGCCACGCAGAGCGCGGAGAAGGCAAGAGUCCGGAGUUCCUGCCCUCUGUUUCGUAAGCACUGGACACUGCCUCUCUUCUUGCAGUGCCAUUAGCCUCACCAGUCCAUGAUGUUAGUAGACAAAGCUGCCGAAAAACCCAGAAUGUUGAAACUGAUUUCAGUGGCUGUACAUAGAGCUAAUCCUCCCAUGACAGGAAUGAGAGACAGAUUCACCAGCAAUCCUCAUGAUCAGGCUAUCAAGUCUUAGAAGAAAAUCUUGCCUAAACACAGCUUUUGAAGUGCUCCGGAUAG